GGAAGGAUCAUUACCACACCAAAAACAACUUUCCACGUGAACUGUCUUACGAGAUUCGCGCCGUGACGCGUGUUGACGCUGUGUGUGUUUGUGUCUUCUUUCGAGAGGAUAUUGUGAUGCAAACAGUGUUGACCGUGUGGGUCGGCUGAUCGAAGGUCGCUUUGUGCAUUAUUGUAUGGAGCGGCUGACUUAUUCUUUCAAACCCAUUACACAAUACUACUGAUUCAUACUGUGAGGACGAAAGUCUUUGCUUUUACUAGAUAACAACUUUCAGCAGUGGAUGUCUAGGCUCGCACAUCGAUGAAGAACGCUGCGAACUGCGAUACGUAAUGCGAAUUGCAGAAUUCAGUGAGUCAUCGAAAUUUUGAACGCAUAUUGCACUUUCGGGUUAUGCCUGGAAGUAUGUCUGUAUCAGUGUCCGUAAAUCAACCUUGCCUCUCUUUGUCGGUGUAGUCCGGCUUGGAGUGUGCAGAUGUGAAGUGUCUCGCGCUACGUCAGUUUGAUGCUAUGCAAUAAGACUAGGCGCGCGAGUCCUUUGAAAACGACACGAUCUUUCUAUUGCUUUCUGUGGAGCGCGACAAUUGAACGCGGCGGUCUUGGGAUCGCCUGCAGUCGAUAGCGACUUUGGCAGAGACAUAUGGAGGAUACCUCAUUUCGCGGUACGUUAGGCUUCGGCUCGACAAUGUUGCGUAGUGUGUGUGUUUUUCCGUCUUUGCUUUGAGGUGUACUGUUGAUUGUGGGCUUGAACCUGGGUUCUGUGUGUUAGUAGAGUGUGGCUGUCUCUGUGGUUUGCGUCUGCGUGCUAUUUCGGUCGCACGUAGGUAGGAGGGUUCCAUUUGGGAAACAUUGUACUGCGCACUGGAAAGUGUGUGUGUAUCUCACUUGGACCUGAUAUCAGACAAGACUACCCGCUGAACUUAAGCAUAUUAAUAAGCGGAGGAAAAGAAACUAACCAGGAUUCCCCUAGUAACGGCGAGUGAAGCGGGAUGAGCUCAAGCUUAAAAUCUCUGUGCAAGUUUUGCAUGGCGAAUUGUAGUCUAUAGAGGCGCUGUCAGUGCAGGCAUUUGGGGUAAGUUCCUUGGAAGAGGACAGCAUCGAGGGUGAUACUCCCGUUUGUACCCGAGUGCUUUGUGCGUACGACACGUUUUCUUUGAGUCGCGUUGUUUGGGACUGCAGCGCAAAGUAGGUGGUAAAUUCCAUCUAAAGCUAAAUAUUGGUGCGAGACCGAUAGCGAACAAGUACCGUGAGGGAAAGAUGAAAAGAACUUUGAAAAGAGAGUUAAAGAGUACCUGAAACUGCUGAAAGGGAAGCGAAUCGUAUCCAGUGUCUAUAAUCUGUGGCAUAUUUCAUUGGCGCAUGUGCGCGUGCUGUGUGUUGGAAGUGGCUUUGCUGCUCCGCGUAUGGUUCUGCGUGUGUGUGCUGGUGCCCUGUGUCAUGGUGGGACGUCAGAGUCAGUUCGUAUGCUGCGGGAAAUGGCUAUUGAGGAGGUAGGUCAGGAGCUUGCUCUUGGCUGUUAUAUCUUGGUAGUUAGUGGUCGUGGUUGGGACUGAGGUGCCUACAACGUGCUUUGGGGUCUUGCGGGUUCUUGCUUGGCGGUCUGUCUGGAUAGCUUGCUAUGCUGGUGGCGUCGUUGGGUGAUUGAGUCUGUUUGUAACCUGUGCCGUUCGGGACUUUGACGAAAUGGAGCGAUUCGGCCCGUCUUGAAACACGGACCAAGGAGUCUAACAUGUGUGCAAGUGUUAGGGUGUGGAAACCCCAGCGCGAAAUGAAAGUGAAGGGUAGCGUACGCUGCCUGAGGUAGGAAACCUUUGUUUUCAGAGGUGGCACUAUCGACCGAUCAUGAACCUUCGUGGUGAAAGAUUUGAGUAUGAGCACAUAUGUUGGUACCCGAAAGAUGGUGAACUAUGCCUGAGUAGGGUGAAGCCAGGGGAAACUCUGGUGGAAGCUCGUAGCGAUUCUGACGUGCAAAUCGAUCGUCAAACUUGGGUAUAGGGGCGAAAGACUAAUCGAACCAUCUAGUAGCUGGUUCCCUC
rnacentral:misc_RNA from 1 species